GCUUUAAUAGUUUAUAAAAACAUUGGUCUUGUAAACCAAAAAUAAGAAAUAAUCUUUUAAAGUU
rnacentral:tRNA from 1 species